rnacentral:rRNA from 1 species
UAGUCCACGCCGUAAACGAUGUCUACUAGCCGUUGGGAGACUUGAUUUCUUAGUGGCGCAGCUAACGCACUAAGUAGACCGCCUGGGGAGUACGGCCGCAAGGUUAAAACUCAAAUGAAUUGACGGGGGCCCGCACAAGCGGUGGAGCAUGUGGUUUAAUUCGAUGCAACGCGAAGAACCUUACCAGGCCUUGACAUCCUGAGAACUUCCUAGAGAUAGGUUGGUGCCUUCGGGAACUCAGUGACAGGUGCUGCAUGGCUGUCGUCAGCUCGUGUCGUGAGAUGUUGGGUUAAGUCCCGUAACGAGCGCAACCCUUGUCCUUAGUUGCCAGCACGUAAUGGUGGGAGCUCUAAGGGGACUGCCCCGGCUAACGGGGAGGAAGGUGGGGACGACGUCAAGUCAUCAUGGCCCUUACGUCCAGGGCUACACACGUGCUACAAUGGCCGGUACAACGGGCAGCUAAACAGCGAUGUUAAGCGAAUCCCUUAAAACCGGUCUCAGUUCGGAUUGGAGUCUGCAACUCGA